UCGGAUUCAACGCCGACCAUUUAUAGGGUUUUGGCUCUUUUGAGUUGAAGAAAAAGGAGAGAGGAGCGGGGGAGACAAAACGAGCUGGGGUGAUGGUGAGGGUAGCGUGGGUGUGACAGGGGUAACGUGGGUGUCAGAGGAGUGGGUGUGUCAGACGCGUGGGGGUAAAGGUGCGGUGGAGAUGACAGAGGGGUGCGUGUGCGUCAGAGAUGUCGGGUGAGUGGAGGUGUCGGACGGUGGUGGAGUUGGCAGAAGAAACGUGGGGCGUCAGGUGAGGGAGAUGGGCGGCGCUAGGGUUAGGGGUAAAGGGAGAGGGAAAGAGAUGGAGGAGAAACGGCGGGGAUGGGAAAUGAGGGGAAAUAAGGGUUUUCCCCUUUUUUUGGACGAGAUGGGUCAGACCCGGUUCAUUUAUGGACCGGGUCAAUUUUUAGACCGGGUAUUAAAAAUGGGCUAAUGAAUUAAAAAUAUGGACUGGUCUAAAAAUUGAGAUAAAAAAUAUGAUCUAAUCCAAAAAAUGUUAGGAGUUAAUCGGACU